AUUGAACGCUGGCGGCAUGCCUUACACAUGCAAGUCGAACGGUAACGGGCCUUCGGGUGCCGACGAGUGGCGAACGGGUGAGUAAUGUAUCGGAACGUACCUUUCAGUGGGGGAUAACGUAGCGAAAGUUACGCUAAUACCGCAUAUUCUGUGUGCAGGAAAGCAGGGGAUCGCAAGACCUUGCGCUGAUUGAGCGGCCGAUAUCAGAUUAGCUAGUUGGUGAGGUAAAGGCUCACCAAGGCGACGAUCUGUAGCGGGUCUGAGAGGAUGAUCCGCCACACUGGAGCUGAGACGCGGGUCAGACUCCUACGGGAGGCAGCAGUGGGGAAUUUUGGACAAUGGGGGCAACCCUGAUCCCGCCAUGCCGCGUGAGUGAAGAAGGCCUUCGGGUUGUAAAGCUCUUUCGGCCGGGAAGAAAUCGUAUGGGCUAAUACCCUGUGCGGAUGACGGUACCGGCAUAAGAAGCACCGGCUAACUACGUGCCAGCCGCCGCGGUAAAAC
rnacentral:rRNA from 1 species